rnacentral:tRNA from 1 species
GUUGAUGUAGCUUAAUAAAAUUAAAGCAAGGCACUGAAAAUGCCUAGAUGGGUUCUACCCCAUGAACA